CAAUAUUUUGGUGAAUGUACAUAUACUCCAAGUAUGUUUUCUCUAAACUUUUAUAUAAGUUAUGUGCUUCUCUUUGAUUUACUCUUGCAUCUCAUGCUUCUAGUUCUUGAAGUAAUAAUAAGUUCGUAUCAACAGGCAAAGAGAGAGAAGGUACAUAUUCUAAUUGAUAUGGUGCAAAUCAUGAAAGGGCGUCAACAAAUCAUUCUUGGACACGAGAAAAGGAAAGAAAACCAGAAGUUCAAUGACGUAUGAAUAGUCAUCUGAUAGGUUAACAACUCUUAGUUGUAUAUUGCAAAAGCCUUUAUCUGUGAUUCUUCUGAUCUGAAAAUUUGUCUUUGAACAAUGCAAACUUGCAUCUCUCAUCAGCACGAGCCGAAGUGCUCAAACUACGUACUAAUUCCCUGUCACAGUGUAAUUAUCGUCGAGUUCAACACAUUUCAGUCUAAAAUAUCAAAGUUAUCACUGCAUUACUAACUACAGGAAGAAGUGAUCUACUAUCUUGAUUCUAUUUAUCCUCGUGCAUAAUUCAAUCAUGACAUCUUAAGAUGUAAAAUGUAGAAAAUCAUUUAUUGGCAUUCCAUUAAUUUACCUCUACUCGUGGAGUAUGAAUAGCUUGAAUUUUGAGCAGCAGCCACCCUUUCUUUACGAAGCCUAAGAUCAUGCAGUAGCUUCUGAGCGAAAUCCGACUUAGCUGACAUUUUGUUGUCUUACUUCACUCUGAAUGUGGAACAGUUUUGGACUAAACCUCCAUAAGGAAACUGCAAAAUCAAUAAAAGCAAAUAAAUGUAAAAAGAAGAAUAUUCUUAGAUUGUGUUGCAGGUCAAUUUCCUAGUAGAUUGGUAAGGUAUAGGAAUGUAAUGUGAAGUUGUUAUGUCACUUUGGUGAGAAGGCUUUUUCAGUGUUGGGUAGGGUGGAUAGUUGGGAAAAAAGCUAUAAUAUUUGAGGUUGAAAAAAAAAAAUUGUUAAUCACACACCACUUGAGAAGAUUGACGUGAAAGUUAGCUCUCUCACUCACUGUUUUUCUCUAUCAAAAACAUUGUGGUUGCUUGGCUUUCAUUCUAAUCCAAGCAAUGUAUUGUAUGGGCACCAAAUAGCUUCACACAAAAGAUUUCUUUAUGAACAAUGAACAAUCUCCUUUCUGGAGAGGGCAACUCAGUGUACUAAGCUCCUCUCAUGCGCGGGGCCCAGAGAAGGGUCAGGCCACAACGGUCUAUUGUACGCAGUUUUAUCCUGUAUUUCUACAAAAUGUUGUUUCCACGGCUCGAAUCCGUGACCUCCUGAUCACAUUUACCUUUCUGGAAUUUUUUUUAAAAAAAAUUAAAAAUUUACUCACGGUCAAUUUUUACACCAAAAUCCAAAUCGACUAAUAGAUGGACGUGUGCCUUUCACGUAUAUUUUUAUCACUAAUCAUAGUUAAUUAGUAUGUAUUCUCACUUCCAUCCUUGAUAAACUACUAUAAUCUGGUAUAAACACCGGGUGUGAAUAAGUUUUGUUCUUUUUUUCGUUCUAUUAUCAACUUUCGUUAGCUUAAAGGUGGUCUCUAGUCAGAGGCGCAUACAAGAUUUAAACUUUAUGUGUUCAACUUUUAAAGCUUUUAGUUUUGAACUUAUUAGUAUUAUUUUAAAUUUGAGUUUGUAUAUACUAUAUGUUGCCAUUUUAAUGAAAUUUUACACAAAAUUAUGGUCCCGUACCGAAAGUACUGGGUUCAGAUGAACCCGAUACCAAGGGCUAGAUCUGCCCGUCUCUAGUAUGGGCAUAACAUGGUUUUGGCCUGUUACAAUAGCUAGAAGAAUGAUCUAGCUCUUUUUUUGCUUUUCAACAGCUGAAAUGUUGGAGGAUUUGCAGCUUUCAAUUAGGGUAUGGGUUGGCUACCUUUUACUAAAGCUACUGUGAGUUAUGCUGGAAUGGGAGAUGAUCUAAAUACAAAUAUUCAAGUGAGAGAUGAUAAAAUUCCAUUUAACAGGUAAUGUGUGUUCCUUUUUUAGAAGGUUUAUGAACCUAAAUAGUUUUUUUCUCCCUCUCUAUAGCUUGUUUUGAUGGUUGUUACAUGUUAUAUUGUAUCGUAUUGUUACUUUAGAUAUAGUGUUUGUUUUGAUUGUUACUUUAACUUUAUUGUAUCGUAUCAUUAAAUCGGAGGUUACGUAACGACGAAAAGUGCCACUUUAUUGAACGACCGAUUUGAUGUGGUCGCAUCACUCCCUUAUUUUUUUCUCUAAUCUUGCCCU
rnacentral:lncRNA from 1 species